rnacentral:rRNA from 1 species
UACGUAGGGUGCAAGCGUUGUCCGGAAUUAUUGGGCGUAAAGAGCUUGUAGGCGGUUUGUCGCGUCUGCUGUGAAAUUUCGGGGCUCAACCCCGAACUUGCAGUGGGUACGGGCAGACUAGAGUGUGGUAGGGGAGACUGGAAUUCCUGGUGUAGCGGUGGAAUGCGCAGAUAUCAGGAGGAACACCGAUGGCGAAGGCAGGUCACUGGGCCGCAACUGACGCUGAGGAGCGAAAGCAUGGGGAGCGAACAGG